UGCGGGUCUGGGGCAAGGGCCUUUCCGAGGGACACACGUUCCAGGUGGCAGAGUUCAUCGUGGACACUCGCAAUGCAGGUACCUCCUGCCCCAGAGAGCCCCCAUUCCAGCGGGUGCCUCCCACAGGCACUUGUCCUCGUCCUGCCCAGCACCCCCUUGGCCGCACUCUCUCCUCCCUGAAACUUCCUGACCAGUCUGCGUCAGGAUUCGCAUUCUGGGGCCCCUUGCGGGAAAGUGAAUGGCCCCGCAUCAGUUCUCUCCCUUUUAAGAGAAAGCUCAGCUGUCCUGAGUUUCUGUCCCUCCCUUGCUCACUGGAAUCCAAGAGGCUUACCUUAGGGAAUUUUCCAGACCGCCUGUCCCGUGGUGCCCCCGCUCCUCCCACUGAGCCAUUUUUGUUAGUGGUCACUACACACAUCGGUGCCCAUUCUGGGUGGAGCCUGCAGUCUGGGGAGAGGAAAGCAUUGUGGCUUGGCCAGCCUAGGACUGAGGGAGAUGUGUUCCUUGCUUUCCCCCAGGUUAUGGGGGCUUGGGGCUGAGUAUUGAAGGCCCAAGCAAGGUGGACAUCAACUGUGAGGACAUGGAGGACGGGACAUGCAAAGUCACCUACUGCCCCACCGAGCCCGGCACCUACAUCAUCAACAUCAAGUUUGCUGACAAGCACGUGCCUGGAAGCCCCUUCACUGUGAAGGUGACCGGCGAGGGCCGCAUGAAGGAGAGCAUCACCCGGCGGAGACAGGCACCUUCCAUCGCCACCAUUGGCAGCACCUGUGACCUCAACCUCAAGAUCCCGGGUAGAAGCCUGGAGGACCCUGGGUGGGGCGGGUGGUGGGAGAGGGCUGGCCCGGGCCAGAGCCCACCUGUCGGGCCUCCACCCUGCUUCCUCACCCCUCGCUUCCCUCCCUCACCCUGGCUCCCUUGACCACACAGGAAACUGGUUCCAGAUGGUGUCUGCCCAGGAGCGCCUGACACGCACCUUCACACGCAGCAGCCACACCUACACCCGCACGGAGCGCACGGAGAUCAGCAAGACGCGGGGCGGGGAGACAAAGCGCGAGGUGCGGGUGGAGGAGUCCACCCAGGUCGGCGGGGACCCCUUCCCUGCUGUGUUUGGGGACUUCCUGGGCCGGGAGCGCCUGGGAUCCUUCGGCAGCAUCACCCGGCAGCAGGAGGGUGAGCACCGCGCACUGGGCCGGCCGGGUCCUCACGGCGGGAUGGGAGGGUGCUGCGGACCAGGCUUGAUGCUGGCAGACUGGCCCCGAAGGCCAGGGCGGGUCUGAGCAGAGGAGGAGGUUUAACUGAUGGGGGAGGGAAGGGCCAGGGCUAGGAGGAAUCCCAGUGUUGCCCUGACAUCCCCCAAACCCUGCAGGUGAGGCCAGCUCUCAGGACAUGACUGCACAGGUGACCAGCCCAUCGGGCAAGAUGGAAGCCGCAGAGAUCGUCGAGGGCGAGGACAGCGCCUACAGCGUGCGCUUUGUGCCCCAGGAGAUGGGGCCCCAUACGGUCGCUGUCAAGUACCGUGGCCAGCACGUGCCCGGCAGCCCCUUUCAGUUCACUGUGGGGCCGCUGGGUGAAGGUGGUGCCCACAAGGUGCGGGCCGGAGGCACAGGGCUGGAGCGAGGUGUGGCCGGCGUGCCAGGUAAGGGGCAGGUGGCCAGGAGUGGGGAUGAAGUCAGGGCAGCCAGUGUGAGGGGCGAUGAUGCUGAAGUCCCCUACCUUGCCUGUCCCCAGCCGAGUUCAGCAUCUGGACCCGGGAGGCUGGCGCUGGGGGCCUGUCCAUUGCUGUGGAGGGUCCUAGCAAAGCGGAGAUUGCAUUUGAGGAUCGCAAAGAUGGCUCCUGCGGCGUCUCCUAUGUCGUCCAGGAACCAGGUGGGCGUCCACACUGGCAGUGGGGCUGGGCCUGCCUGACCUUCCAGACUGGGUUUCUGCCCACUGGCCAGGCAGGAGAUGCUUGGGGCCACAGAACUCCCCUCCCCGGAGCCCCCUGCUCUUCCUCUGCCCCGUCUCCCUCUACCCCACACCCUCAGAAACAUGUGUCUGCCUCCAGAUCUGAGCACUGACCACAGAGCCUUUCCUGGGAUAAGGCCAGGGUGGGGAGGCUCCCGCCCUGCCAACCUCCAUCCCGGAACCUGUGCUGACUGGUCUCUCUCCCCAGGUGACUAUGAGGUCUCCAUCA
rnacentral:lncRNA from 1 species